rnacentral:sRNA from 1 species
CGCGUCAUCAAUGGACUCUGUUUCCGUGAACUUUAAAUAAAUAAUGCAUUAUCUAAGGACUCUGUUUCUGUGAACUCUUUAUAAAUAACACAUCUUUAAUGGAUUCAGUUUCUGUAUACAUAAACUCUUCAGUAAUUUGUUUUUUUUACUUUUUUAAUUUUAUCCUAGUAUAAUAUGUAUCAGUUUAGUAAGUUGCCCUUUUACAGCAUGUACUAUACAUGUGUUUUACAUAUUUAAGGUACUUCACUUCACCGAGACUUAUACUUUUUAAGAUACUAUUUCACAAGAUGGCGAUUUAAAUGUUUUGUUAAACUGUUUGUAUCAAUCAAUUCAGAUGUAUAUCGUCGUAGCUCAGUGGUUAAAGUAUUAGGCUUGUGAUCUGCAGGUUCUGAGUUUGAAUCCACCUGGGGCUUUUGUUCAUGUUUACAGAAUAAAAAUUUUGAAAAUAUCAUUUUUUUAAUCUAAAAUUGCACAUUUUUUCGCCUAUUUUACAUAUAUUCUUCUUAUCUAUCAUGCUUUCUAUCAUAAUCAAGUAAUUUUUUGCUGAUUUGAGAAACUAUAUCAAGGUGUAGUGAGGAACCUUAAGCUCCUUAAAUCCCUGAUAAAUAUAAAUUGUGACUAAUGUGUAAUGAUUUUUUUUUUUUGAUUUGCACACAAGAAACUGAUUAAUUUGUAUUCUUCAAUGUAAAAUUAAAAAUAAAGUUAUUCCUCUUUUUAUAGUGUUUUCUAUAUCAAGUUCCACUUGCCAACUGUAUUUUAUGGUGUUAAUCCCUGACAAUAUUUUUUGUUAGACAGUUUAGUAAGUAUCAGUUAAUGUUUAUUACACCAUGUCUUAAAUGCAUGUAACGUGGUUGGAGAUUAAAGGGAGAGAAAGGGGGUUCAAAUCCGAC